rnacentral:rRNA from 1 species
CGCGUAGGCGGCCGAUUAAGUCGGGGGUGAAAGCCUGUGGCUCAACCACAGAAUUGCCUUCGAUACUGGUUGGCUUGAGACCGGAAGAGGACAGCGGAACUGCGAGUGUAGAGGUGAAAUUCGUAGAUAUUCGCAAGAACACCAGUGGCGAAGGCGGCUGUCUGGUCCGGUUCUGACGCUGAGGCGCGAAAGCGUGGGGAGCAAAUA